rnacentral:rRNA from 1 species
UGGGGAAUUUUGGACAAUGGGCGAAAGCCUGAUCCAGCCAUGCCGCGUGAGUGAAGAAGGCCUUCGGGUUGUAAAGCUCUUUUAGUCGGAAAGAAAGAGUUGCAAUGAAUAAUUGUGAUUUAUGACGGUACCGACAGAAAAAGCACCGGCUAACUACGUGCCAGCAGCCGCGGUAAUACGUAGGGUGCGAGCGUUAAUCGGAAUUACUGGGCGUAAAGGGUGCGCAGGCGGUCUUGCAAGUCAGAUGUGAAAGCCCCGGGCUUAACCUGGGAAUUGCGUUUGAAACUACAAGGCUAGAGUGCAGCAGGGGAGUGGAAUUCCAUGUGUAGCAGUGAAAUGCGUAGAGAUGUGGAAUAACACCGAUGGCGAAGGCAGCUCCCUGGGUUGACACUGACGCUCAUGCACGAAAGCGUGGGGAGCAAACA